rnacentral:rRNA from 1 species
UACAGGGGGUGCAAACGUUGCUCGGAAUUAUUGGGCGUAAAGCGCGCGUAGGCGGCUACUUAAGUCGGAUGUGAAAGCCCUUGGCUCAACUGAGGAAGUGCACCCGAAACUGAGUGGCUUGAGUACUAAAGAGGGUCGCGGAAUUCCCGGUGUAGAGGUGAAAUUCGUAGAUAUCGGGAGGAACACCGGUGGCGAAGGCGGCCCCCUGGUUGGAUACUGACGCUGAUACGCGAAAGCGUGGGGAGCAAACAGGG